UACGUAGGGUGCGAGCGUUAAUCGGAAUUACUGGGCGUAAAGCGUGCGCAGGCGGUUUUUCAAGCCGGAUGUGAAAUCCCCGGGCUUAACCUGGGAAUGGCAUUCGGGACUGCAAGGCUGGAGUGCGGCAGAGGAGACUGGAAUUCCUGGUGUAGCAGUGAAAUGCGUAGAUAUCAGGAGGAAUACCAAUGGCGAAGGCAGCUCGCUGGGACGGUACUGACGCUGAGGCGCGAAAGCGUGGGGAGCAAACAGG
rnacentral:rRNA from 1 species